AACAUGUCUGUAUGAAAUUAUUAUAAAGUCUAGCCUGCCCACUGAGACGUAUUGAAGGGCCGCGGUAUUUUGACCGUGCGAAGGUAGCAUAAUCAGUAGUCUUUUAAUUGAAGGCUUGAAUGAAUGGUUGUAUGAAAGAUAAGCUGUCUUUCAAGUAUAUACUAGAAUUUAACUUUUAAGUGAAAAGGCUUAAAUUAUUUAGGGGGACGAUAAGACCCUAUAAAACUUUACAUAAGUUACAUUUAGUUUGUGAAUAAAGUAAAAAAUUGUUUUAGGUAUCUUAUGUUUCGUUGGGGAGACGUUUAUAUAACUGUAACUGUCAGAUAAAUUUAAUAAUUUUAAUUAGUAUAUGAUCCUUCCGUGGGGAUUAUAAGAGUAAGUUACUUUAGGGAUAACAGCGUGAUUUUCUUUGAGAGUUCUUAUCGACAAGAAUUAGUUGCGACCUCGAUGUUGAAUUAAAAUUUCAGUUAGGUGUAGCCGCUUAGCUAGUAGGUCUGUUCGACCUUUAAAAUUUUACAUGAUUUGAGUUCAAACCGGUGUGAGCCA
rnacentral:rRNA from 1 species